rnacentral:rRNA from 1 species
AUGAACGCUAGCGACAGGCCUAACACAUGCAAGUCAGGGGCAGGCACAAGGAGCAAUCUGAGGUGGCGACCGGCGCACGGGUGAGUAACACGUAUGCAACCUGCCUGUAAGCGGGGAAUAACCCGUUGAAAGACGGACUAAUACCGCAUAAUACUAAAUUACUGCAUGGUAAUUUAUUUAAACAUUUAUGGCUUACAGAUGGGCAUGCGCAUGAUUAGCUAGUUGGAGAGGUAACGGCUCCCCAAGGCAACGAUCAUUAGGGGUUCUGAGAGGAAGGUCCCCCACACUGGUACUGAGACACGGACCAGACUCCUACGGGAGGCAGCAGUGAGGAAUAUUGGUCAAUGGACGAGAGUCUGAACCAGCCAAGUCGCGUGCAGGAAGAAUGUCCUAUUGGAUUGUAAACUGCUUUUGCAGGGGAAUAAAGUGCAUCACGUGUGAUGUUUUGUAUGUACUCUGCGAAUAAGGAUCGGCUAACUCCGUGCCAGCAGCUGC